UGGGGAAUAUUGGACAAUGGGGGAAACCCUGAUCCAGCGAUGCCGCGUGGGUGAAGAAGGCCUGCGGGUUGUAAAGCUCUUUCGGCGGGGACGAAACGGUCCGUGACAACACCACGGACUAAUGACAGUACUCGCAGAAGAAGCACCGGCUAACUACGUGCCAGCAGCCGCGGUAAUACGUAGGGACCAAGCGUUGUUCGGAUUUACUGGGCGUAAAGGGCGCGUAGGCGGCAAUUCAAGUCAUCUGUGAAAUCUCCGGGCUUAACUCGGAACGGUCAGAUGAUACUGCUUUGCUAGAGUGCAGAAGGGGCAAUCGGAAUUCUUGGUGUAGCGGUGAAAUGCGUAGAUAUCAAGAGGAACACCUGAGGUGAAGACGGGUUGCUGGGCUGACACUGACGCUGAGGCGCGAAAGCCAGGGGAGCAAACGGGAUUAGAUACCCCAGUAGUCCCUGAGCGGGCUGGCAAGGCGCAU
rnacentral:rRNA from 1 species